CACACACAUAAAUACAGACCGACACACACAUACAUACAGACAAGCACACACAUACAGGCAGACACACACACACAUUCAUACACAGACAGGCACACAUACAAACAGACACACAUACAUACAUACAUACAAACACACACACACAAUAUUUAAGUCACCCUCCUGUUUCCUACCUUUUAGGUGCAGGAGGGUGACUGGGGUCCAGUGGUGGCUCAGGUGGAUGGGAGUCAGAGUUCCCACUCUGACUCCCUGGUCUUCCUCCCACGCGGGCUCUCAGUAAUAGCUGGGAGGAGUGACAUGCCGUCACUUCCUCCCAGCGUGUGAUGUAAUCAAAGGGGGUCCGGUCGCGCUGUUGAAGCGCCCAGCGCUGACCGGGCCCCCUUACAAUCCAUAUCUAUCGGGUGGCCCUGACAGCAUGGGCCACCCGAUGGACCCCUUGGACGGCGGCCCCAGCGGUUUGCCGCGCGGGCCGGGGCUGCAAAAGAUAAUGGCAGGUACCUGGUCGCAGGGGUCCGCAGGGCAGCCGGGCCCCCUGGAGUGACGGGCGUGGUCGCAGCUGCGAC